AUAGGGAACCUAGGUACAGGAUAUAUUGAUAAUAUAGAACUGUCCAUACUAUUUUCACAAUUUUUCUAUAAAUUACAAUUGCCUAAAAUAAGGUUUAUUUAAAAACUUAAUUCUACUUAUAAUAUUUUAGUAAUUCCAUAUCUGAACUCUUUGGAGCUAUUGUCUGCUGUUUGUUAUUCUCUCAUAUGUUUUAGUUUUUUACUGUGAACUCAUGUUCAACCGGAUUUCUUUUUUUCUUGAGAACCUUGUGAAAAGUGAGUUAUCUUGGCAUGUAUGCAAACAAUUUCCUCUUGCUUUUGCCAGGCUGAUGCCAUGUGGAACGUCUUUAUUUCCUCAACUGGAAGUUUCCCAGACAACACUGUUUACAUCUAGCAUUUACACACACUGUGGAAAGGUUUCUUCUUCUGAGGCUGCAUGACAGUUCCAGAGAGCAGCACCUUUGAAGGUGGCAUGGAGAGCAUGGACAGCUGCACCGUUCUCCUCUGUCCUGCCACGCCUGGAGUUCGAGUCAGGGACCUCAGGUCAUCAUCAUGUAAUAAUAUUGAUAGUUGCCUGUGUGAUGGAGAUGUUAGCUAAUGCUAGGGCAGUAAUUAUAUUGCCAUGUAGAAAUGAUCAAAUCAACACUUUGCACUCCUUAAACUUACAUAAUGUUAUAUGUCAAUUAGAGCUCAAUUAAAGAAAAACAGAAGGGCUGGCCCCACGGUGUAGUGGUUAAGUCUGGUGCACUCCACUUUGGAGGCCCUGGUUUGUGGAUUCAGAUCCCUGGUGCAAACCUAUGCCCCUCAUCAAUCUAUGCUGUGGUUGUGACCUACAUCCAAAAUAGAGGAAGAUUGGCACAGAUGUUAGCUCAGGGCUAAUCCUCCUCAAGCCAAAAAAAAAAAAAGGGAAAGAUUGGCAACAGAUGUUAGCUCAGAGCAAAGCUUUCUCAUCAAAAGAAAAAAAAAAGUUUCCUGGCUAAGAGAAAUUCAUACAAAAAUUUGAUGUCUGAAACCUUUAGGAAAACUAUUUGAACAAUCUAUUACAAAAUGAAUUACUGACAAUUUCAAUUCACCAAAAUCAGUGCAAGGCAUAUGCUUCAAAUUCAAACACACUUUAGUGUCCUUCAGCUGUCCGAAAAUGGCCACUCCAAAUGAUUGUUUUGUGUAUAAUUCCAGUUUUAUUACCUAGACAUAUUAAAGAGUUUACAGAUUUACAUAUUGAAGCUUCAGCCUCAGGCUGCAGUGACUUACUGCCAUGUCAUGGCUCAUAUCCUUUCUUUAAUACUGUGUUUCCUAGAGAUACAACUGAUCAAGUCACAAACUGUAUGUCACUGCUGUCACUAUUCAAAGGACUCAGAAUCCCAGGGUCAGAUUUGUUCUUCAAGGACUUUUGCCAGAAGUAGAGAUGCACGCCAUCAUUAAUCACUUUUCUUUUUUAUAGGUUCUUUCUAUUAUAAUUUUGCAACAUAAUUUUUGACCCAUAGUUUGAUUAUCUACUUCUCAUUUAGCAGAAACUAAAAGUUAGUGGGAGAGGAACUUCAGAGUCUAAAUGUUGGAAAAAAUGCAGAAUAAGAUUUUUUAAAAAUUAGAUUACACACACACCCAUUUUUAUCAAUGACAUACAGCUUUCUUAAACUAUACUUGAAUUAUCAUUUGAUUUGUCAUUCUUUUGGUCUGGGAAGCAGGGUGAUAAUGUUGUUUUGUGUGUGUGUGAGUGUGUGUGUGUGUUACAGGUGUGGUGAGUAUAGAAGGAAAAAGAAAAUUCUUAAGAAAUCAAGAAUACAGGACAGAAUCAACCCUGAGGAUGAAUAUUCAAGAAAAAUUUUAAGUUUAUAAAUACAAGAUUAAAAACAACCAAGAGAAAAACAAAGAUAUCCUAAUACUGAAAACUUGUUUUGAAGUAGUGGCACUUGGAAGGCAGUGCCACGUUCACAGAAAGGGAUUGAAGCGCAAGAAGAAAAGCUACUAUGCACAGAGAAGUGGAUUUAUUGGAGAAGAUUCCGCCUUUAUCCAUCUAACAAAAAUCUAUUUAUAACAAUCAGGUGACCCCACUCUCCAUGACCUCCAUCUCUGAGACGCUCAGCUGAUUGAACUUCAAGCCGGGAGUGACGGCAGAAGAACCAAGUCACGGUUGGGGCAAAAGUGGUCCGAUUAUUUUCGAUCAGGAAUCUGAACAGGGAUUAGGUAUUGCUCUUAGAAUCUGUGACUAGAGGAGCUACUUUCUGCCAUACUGUAGACUUAAGAAGAGAAAGUAGGUCAACAGAGGAAAAAAACAUGAAAAUAGAGCAGACAGUAGCAGAGAAAAGAAGAAAACAAAUGCGCCCCAUAAAAGUUGAGGGGAGUCCCUUGUUCCAGCUGGAUUCUGCAUUUCCUACAAUUGUUUUCUGUGACAAUCCCUAAUAUUUUCAGAAUAAAGGACUGUGUAAUAAAAUACA